UACGAAGGUGGCAAGCGUUACUCGGAAUUACUAGGCGUAAAGGGCAGGUAGGUGGUUUGGUAAGUCUGUUGUGAAAGCUCCCGGCUUAACUGGGAGAGGUCAACAGAAACUACCAGGCUUGAGUAUAGGAGAGGGUACUGGAAUUCCCGGUGUAGCGGUGAAAUGCGCAGAGAUCGGGAGGAACACCAAUGGCGAAAGCAGGUACCUGGACUAUUACUGACACUCAGCUGCGAAAGCUAGGGGAGCAAACAGG
rnacentral:rRNA from 1 species